rnacentral:rRNA from 1 species
UACGAAAGGGGGGCUAGCGUUGCUCGGAAUUACUGGGCGUAAAGCGCGCGUAGGCGGCUUUGUAAGUUAGAGGUGAAAGCCCGGGGCUCAACCCCGGAAUUGCCUUUAAGACUGCAUCGCUUGAAUCCGGGAGAGGUGAGUGGAAUUCCGAGUGUAGAGGUGUAAAUUCGUAGAUAUCGGAAGAACACCAGUGGCGAAGGCGGCUCACUGGACC